rnacentral:rRNA from 1 species
UACGUAGGGGGCUAGCGUUGUCCGGAUUUAUUGGGCGUAAAGAGCGUGUAGGCGGCCAGGUAGGUCUGGUGUGAAAACUCGAGGCUUAACCUUGAGAUGUCAUCGGAAACCAUUUGGCUAGAGUCCGGAAGAGGAGAGUGGAAUUCCCGGUGUAGCGGUGAAAUGCGCAGAUAUCAGGAAGAACACCCGUGGCUAAGGCGGCUCUCUAGUACGGUACUGACGCUGAGACGCGAAAGCGUGGGGAGCGAACAGG